GGGGGGGGUUUGGGGCAGUUGGGGGGGUUUUUGGGGUUUGGGGGGGUUUGAGGGGGUUUGCGGCAUUUUUGGGGGUUUUUGGGGGUUUUGGGUUUUUUGGGGGUUUUGGGGGGUUUGGGGUGUUUUGGGGCGUUUGGGGGGGUUUUGGGGGGUUUGGGGGAUUUGGGGGGGUUUGAGGGUUUGGGGGGGUUUGGGGUUUUUGGGGGUUGGGUGUUUUUGGGGCAUUUUCCGGCGUUUUGGGGUUUUUGAGGUUUGGGGGGGUUUUGUGGGGGGGAUUUUUGGGCGAUUUUGGGGUGAUUUUGGGGUUUUUUCCUUACCUUGGGCCAAUAGAGGAGAUUUUGGGGCCCCCCCGCGGGCGCGGGGUGGGGGAGGGGCGCCUGGGGGGAGCCGCCCUCGCCCGAGGGGGGAGGGGAAUCCUCGUCCUCCCCCUCCCCCUCCUCCUCCUCCUCUUCCUCCUCCUCCUCUUCCUCCUCCUCCUCCUCCUCGGCCCCCAGCGCCUCCAGCCCUGCGCCAGGGGAGGCCCCAAAAACGCUGGAAAUCGCCCCAAAAACCCCCGCCCCCCCCAUUCCGGGGUAUUCCCCCAGAAUUUUGGGGGCUCCCCCCCUUUUCUCCCCAUUUCCAAUCCCAAAUUUGGGCUCUUUUCCCUCCUUUUUUCCCGCCAGAAAUUCCCAAAGAUUUGGGCUCCCCUUUUACCCCAAAAUCCCCCCAAAUCCCCCUAAAUUUGGGCUCCUCUCUCCCUUUUUCUCCCUCAAAAAUUCCCAAAGAUUUGGGGACCCCUUUUACCCCAAAAUCCUCCCAAAUUUGGGCUCCUUUCCCUCUUUUUCUCCACCAGGAAUUCCCAAAGACUUGGGCUCCCCUUUUCCCCAUUUCCCCCCAAAUUUGGGCUCCCCUUUUUCCCAUUUCCCCCCCCAAAUUUCCCACCGUAAAAUCCCCCAUUUCUGCCCAAAUUUCCCACCCCAAAAUCCCCCUUUUUCCCCCCAAAUUUAGGCUCCCUAUUUCCCCAUUCCCCCCCAAAUUUCCCACCCCAAAAUCCCCCUUUUUCACCCCAAAUUUGGGCCCCCAUUUUUCCCCAUUCCCCCCCAAAU
rnacentral:lncRNA from 1 species